rnacentral:tRNA from 1 species
GCGCCCGUAGCUCAAUUGGAUAGAGCAUCUGACUACGGAUCAGAAGGUUGUGAGUUCGAAUCCCGCCGGGCGCGCCA